rnacentral:lncRNA from 1 species
CCCAGCACUUGGCACCUUAUUUUUCUUCUUCUUCUUUUCUUUCUUAAAGGGAUGAUGCCUGCCUGAAAAAGAUGCUCCCACUACAUUCACCGUCUCCUUGUAGAGCUGGUGAUCUUUCUCAUAAGUCUGCAGCAACCCCAACAGACCAUGAUAGUUUACCACAGAUUUGGUUAUUCGAUAAUGACUGAGAAACCGUAAGUAGGACUUUGACAAAAAAUUUAGAAUCAUAUCUUUCCCA